AGAAGAUGCAGGGAAGCUGCUUCAUACCGAUGGGGGGAGCUACUCACAGGUUGACUUAAAUAGAGCUGGAGUCCCAUUGUUGGAAAUUGUAUCUGAACCAGAUAUGAGAACUGGUAUUGAAGCUGCAGAAUAUGCUGCAGAAUUGCAAAGGUUGGUCAGGUAUCUGGGAGUGGGUAAUGGGAACAUGCAAGAAGGAUCACUUCGCUGCGACGUCAAUAUUUCAGUUCGUCCUAUUGGUCAAUUAGAGUUUGGUACAAAGGUUGAAAUUAAAAACUUGAACUCCUUCUCAUCGAUGAGUAGGGCCAUUGAUUAUGAAAUUUCAAGACAGGUGGAACUACAUAACCAAGGCCAGAUUGAUCAAAUUGUACAGGAAACUCGUCUAUGGGAGGAAGGUGCUCAGAAAACAGUAACCAUGCGAAAAAAGGAAGGACUUGCUGACUAUCGUUAUUUCCCUGAACCUGAUCUCCCUGGUGUUUCUCUCACCGAGGAGUAUGUGAACAGUAUCCGUGAG
rnacentral:misc_RNA from 1 species